CCUACAUCGAGGUGCUCCCUGUGCUGGGUCAUAAACCAAGGGCCAGAAUUCUCUGGCACAGAAUCAUGGAAUCCCAGACUGGUCUUGGUUGGGAGGGAACUUAAAUCCCACCCAGUGCCACCCCUGCCAUGGCAGGGACACCUCCCACUGUCCCAAUGCUCCAGCCCCAGUGUCCAGCCUGGCCCUGGGCACUGCCAGGGAUCCAGGGGCAGCCACAGCAAACCUGGGAAUUCCAGCCCAGCUCCCAGGGAACAAUUCCUGCCCAAAAUCCCAUGUAAACCUACCCACUUUCAGUUUAAGAUCACUCCCUCCUGGCAUCCAGAUGGAAAUGCAGGAUGAAGGUUGUGGGGUGGUGGAGUCCACACAGCCAUGGAGGACUUGGGACUGCAGGUGCUGGGGAAUCCUGGAGGAUCUGGGGCUUAUCUGUGGCAGUUGGAUCUAAUACAAAGCAGUUUAUAAAAAGGCUUUUGCAAACACUGGUGGGAAUUUGUCUUAUGCAGAGAAGAUGCUGGAAAUUAUUGAAAUUGGAGUACCUGACAUGUCAGAUGAGAGGAGCCUCUGGAAGAAGCUGCCAAAGCAACAGGACAAAUAAAUGCCAGACACAAGCGCUGCUUGAUGUGGGAUUACAAACACCGCACCCGUCAUCAAUUCAGAUUUAGCUGAGGUGUAAAGGCAGCGCUGGGGGAGCGGCAGGAGCGCAGGGCUGGCGGCACCUGGGCACGGGUAAGGGAGGCAGGAGGUCCCCAGGGGCCUCUCCCCGUGGAGACUGGGCUUGCCAGGAGAAAGGAAAGCUCCUGGAGUUGUCCUCCUGACAUCUGGCACGUGGGGUGCCGAGGAGCCGCUGCCCAGUUUAUCCCUCUGCCCUUCCCUGGGCUGUGUUACCAGUCUCUCGACUGUGGAACAGCC
rnacentral:lncRNA from 12 species